AUGGCACGACGAGGGCUUAACUGUCUCCUUUUUCCAGUCAAUGAAAUUGAUCUCCCCGUGCAGAAGCGGGGAUAAAACCAUAAGACGAGAAGACCCUAUGGAGCUUCAGACACUAAGGUGCAUCAUGUUAAUAACCCUUGACAAAAGAAUAAACCAAAUGAAAAACACCCUGAUGUCUUUGGUUGGGGCGACCGCGGGGGAUCAAAUAACCCCCAUGUGGAGUAAGAGUACCUCUCCUAAAGCUAAGAGUAACAACUCUAAUAAACAGAAUUUCUGACCAAAAAGAUCCGGCAAUGCCGAUCAACGGACCGAGUUACCCUAGGGAUAACAGCGCAAUCCUCUUUUAGAGCCCAUAUCGACAAGGGGGUUUACGACCUCGAUGUUGGAUCAGGACAUCCUAAUGGUGCAGCCGCUAUUA
rnacentral:rRNA from 1 species